GUAACAUUCUGAGUAUGUUGUUUAUCACUAGCAGCACCAUAUCAUCAGGUAACAUUCUGAGUAUGUUGUCUAUCACUAUCAGCACCAUAUCACCAGGUAACAUUCUGAGUAUGUUGUCUAUCACUAGCAGCACCAUAUCACCAGGUAACAUUCUGGGUGUGUUGUCCAUCACUAGCAGCACCAUAUCACCAGGUAACAUUCUGGGUGUGUUGUCCAUCACUAGCAGCACCAUAUCACCAAGUAACAUUCUGGGUAUGUUGUCUAUCAGCACCAUAUCACCAGGUAACAUUCUGGGUAUGUUGUCUAUCAGCACCAUAUCACCAGGUAACACUCUGGCUGUGUUGUCUAUCAGCACCAUAUCACCAGGUAACAUUCGGAGUAUGUUGUCAAUCAGCACCAUAUCACCAGGUAACAUUCUGGGUGUGUUGUCUAUCAGCACCAUAUCACCAGGUAACAUUCUGAGUAUGUUGUUUAUCACUAGCAGCACCAUAUCAUCAGGUAACAUUCUGAGUAUGUUGUCUAUCACUAUCAGCACCAUAUCACCAGGUAACAUUCUGAGUAUGUUGUCUAUCACUAGCAGCACCAUAUCACCAGGUAACAUUCUGGGUGUGUUGUCCAUCACUAGCAGCACCAUAUCAUCAGGUAACAUUCUGGGUAUGUUGUCUAGCAGCACCAUAUCACCAGGUAACAUUCUGGGUGUGUUGGCAAUCAGCACCAUAUCACCAGGUAACAUUCUGGGUGUGUUGUCUAUCAGCACCAUAUCACCAGGUAACAUUCUGGGUAUGUUGUCUAUCAGCACCAUAUCACCAGGUAACAUUCUGGGUGUGUUGUCUAUCAGCACCAUAUCACCAGGUAACAUUCUGAGUAUGUUGUUUAUCACUAGCAGCACCAUAUCAUCAGGUAACAUUCUGAGUAUGUUGUCUAUCACUAUCAGCACCAUAUCACCAGGUAACAUUCUGAGUAUGUUGUCUAUCACUAGCAGCACCAUAUCACUAGGUAACAUUCUGAGUAUAUUGUCUAUCACUAGCAGCACCAUAUCACCAGGUAACAUUCUGAGUAUGUUGUCUAGCAGCACCAUAUCACCAGGUAACAUUCUGGGUGUGUUGGCAAUCA
rnacentral:lncRNA from 1 species